CCUACGGGAGGCAGCAGUGUAUUAAUAAUGUACAUGGGUUAAUAGCCCUGAUCCAUGCAUGCACCUGUGAUUAAUUACCUCCCGUGUCCUUUGUAAACUGCUUUUAUACAGGAAUAAUAAGCUCCGUGCAUUUAGUGAUAACUCUACCGUAAGAAUAACGAUCGGCUAACUCCGUGCCAGCAGCCGCUGUAAUACGGAGGAUCCGAGCGUUAUCCGGAAUUACUUGGGUUUAAAAGGUCCGUAGGCGGCUUGAUCAGUCAGUGGUGAAAUCUUUCGGCUCAACCGGAAAAUUGCCAUUGAUACUGUCAGGCUUGAGUUACUGUGAAGUAAGUAGAAUGUGUAGUGUAGCGGUGAAAUGCUUAGAUAUUACACAGAAUACCGAUUGCGAAGGCAGCUUACUAACAUUAUACUGACGCUGAUGGACGAAAGCGUGGGGAGCGAACAGGAUUAGAUACCCUGGUAGUCCACGCCGUAAACGAUGGAUACUAGCUGUUUGGAGCAAUCUGAGUGGCUAAGCGAAAGUGGUAAGUAUCCCACCUGGGGAGUACGAACGCAAGUUUGAAACUCAAAUGAAUUGACGG
rnacentral:rRNA from 1 species